rnacentral:rRNA from 1 species
UCCCAGACUCCUACGGGAGGCAGCAGUGAGGAAUAUUGGUCAAUGGACGAGAGUCUGAACCAGCCAAGUAGCGUGAAGGAUGACUGCCCUAUGGGUUGUAAACUUCUUUUAUAUGGGAAUAAAACAGGGUAUGCAUACCCUCUUGUAUGUACCAUAUGAAUAAGGAUCGGCUAACUCCGUGCCAGCAGCCGCGGUAAUACGGAGGAUCCGAGCGUUAUCCGGAUUUAUUGGGUUUAAAGGGUGCGUAGGCGGGAUGCCAAGUCAGCGGUAAAAUUGCGGUGCUCAACGCCGUCGAGCCGUUGAAACUGGCGUUCUUGAGUGGGCGAGAAGUAUGCGGAAUGCGUGGUGUAGCGGUGAAAUGCAUAGAUAUCACGCAGAACUCCGAUUGCGAAGGCAGCAUACCGGCGCCCUACUGACGCUGAGGCACGAAAGCGUGGGUAUCGAACAGGAUUAGAUCCCCCAGUA